GACGACAGACUCAUACUGCUAUAAUGUUAAUGUAUGACUGUAUUACUGCAGCAGCCUCCCACUCAAGCUAACGUCAGCUAGCCAUGCUAGUCACUGUUACCAGCAUCAUUUAGCGAUUUACCACACGGUGAAUAUUAACGUAUCGUAUGUGUAUCAGAUGUCAGUGUGAAAGCCUCAGUUAACCCGCUACACAACAGCUUUUUGGCAUUUUCCAUUUUCUCUCCUGUGAUGGCGAGUUUCUUUGCCCCAAAUAGGAGCGCAGCCUCGUCGAUGACGCAAUGCUGGUCUGGUCUAUAGCUUGGAGCCAUAAAGACCCUCUAUUAUAUAUUUUUUUAGGACAUGGCAGGGGAACAAAUCAUAGAUCAGCAUUUUUGGAUUCAAUGUUGGUGCAACAAACUACACAGUAACUCUUCGGCAUAGCGUUAUUACUAUUACCGGUUUGUUUAAAUAAGAAGUCUUGGAGACAUGCAUC